GAGGGGGGCUGCUCCUAGUACGAGAGGACCGGAGUGGACGAGCAUCACUGGUGUUCGGGUUGUCAUGCCAAUGGCACUGCCCGGUAGCUAAAUGCGGAAGAGAUAAGUGCUGAAAGCAUCUAAGCACGAAACUUGCCCCGAGAUGAGUUCUCCCUGAGACUUUAAGUCUCCUGAAGGAACGUUGAAGACGACGACGUUGAUAGGCCGGGUGUGUAAGCGCAGCGAUGCGUUGAGCUAACCGGUACUAAUGAACCGUGAGGCUUAACCUUACAACGCCGAAG
rnacentral:rRNA from 1 species